rnacentral:rRNA from 1 species
GGAUUCCCCUAGUAACUGCGAGUGAAGCGGGAAAAGCUCAAAUUUAAAAUCUGGCAGUCUAUGGCUGUCCGAGUUGUAAUCUAGAGAAGUAAUGCCCGUGCUGGACCGUGUAUAAGUCUCCUGGGAUGGGGCGUCAUAGAGGGUGAGAAUCCCGUCUUUGACACGGACUACCAGUGCAUUGUGGUAUGCUCUCAAAGAGUCGAGUUGUUUGGGAAUGCAGCUCAAAAUGGGUGGUAAAUUCCAUCUAAAGCUAAAUAUUGGCGAGAGACCGAUAGCGAACAAGUACCGUGAGGGAAAGAUGAAAAGAACUUUGGAAAGAGAGUUAAACAGUACGUGAAAUUGCUGAAAGGGAAACGCUUGAAGUCAGUCGUGUUGGCCGGGAAUCAGCCUUGCAUUUGCAUGGUGUACUUUCUGGUUGACGGGUCAGCAUCAAUUUUGACCGCUGGAAAAAGGCCUGGGGAAUGUGGCAGCUUCGGCUGUGUUAUAACCCCUAGUCACAUACAGUGGUUGGGAUUGAGGAACUCAGCACGCCGCAAGGCCGGGUUUCGACCACGUUCGUGCUUAGGAUGCUGGCAUAAUGGCUUUAAGCGACCCGUCUUGAAACACGGACCAAGGAGUCUAACAUGCCUGCGAGUAUUUGGGUGGAAAACCCAAGUGCAUAAUGAAAGUGAAAGUUGAGAUCCCUGUCGUGGGGAGCAUCGACGCCCGGACCAGAACUUUUGGGACGGAUCCGCGGUGGAGCAUGUAUGUUGGGACCCGAAAGAUGGUGAACUAUGCCUGAAUAGGGUGAAGCCAGAGGAAACUCUGGUGGAGGCUCGUAGCGAUUCUGACGUGCAAAUCGAUCGUCAAAUUUGGGUAUAGGGGCGAAAGACUAAUCGAACCAUCUAGUAGCUGGUUCCUGCC